rnacentral:rRNA from 1 species
CCUACGGGAGGCAGCAGUGAGGAAUAUUGGUCAAUGGGCGGGAGCCUGAACCAGCCAAGUCGCGUGAGGGAAGAAGGUCCUAUGGAUUGUAAACCUCUUUAGGCGGGGAGCAAUGCCGGGCACGCGUGCCCGGAGGGAGAGUCCCCGCAGAAUACGCAUCGGCUAACUCCGUGCCAGCAGCCGCGGUAAUACGGGGGAUGGGGGCGUUAUCGGGAUUUAUUGGGUUGAAAGGGUGGGUAGUCGGAUUUUUAGGUAAGGGGUAAAAGGGCCGGGCGCACCCCGGGCCGGCCGUUGAAACUGGGGAUCUUGAGUGGGCGAGAAGUAUGCGGAAUGCGUGGUGUAGCGGUGAAAUGCAUAGAUAUCACGCAGAACUCCGAUUGCGAAGGCAGCAUACCGGCGCCCGACUGACGCUGAGGCACGAAAGCGUGGGGAUCGAACAGGAUUAGAUACCCGAGUAGUC